GUCUAAUAAUGUGCAGUCUGCUGACACUGGAUGACUGGAAACAGCAGAGAUGAAGGAGCUAUGGAUUAUGGUUGUCUUUGCUACAGUCUCUUUUCCACAGGGGGAUCUCACCACAUCCUCUGCCAUUCCAACCACCAUUGACAUAACUAUCCCAACUACUGAUGACCCUUUAACCCCUGACCCUCCAACUACUGACACACCAACUGCUGACACUCCAACAACAUACCCUCCAACUACCAACCCUCCAACUAGCGACUUUCCAACAAACGACUUUCCAAUUACAGACACUCCAAUUACCAACUUUCCAACUACCAACUUUCCAACUACCGACACUCCAACUACCAACUUCCCAACUUCUGACUUUCUAACUACCGACAUGCCAACUAGCGGUUCUCCAACUGCCCACUUUCCAACUGCCCACUUUCCAACUGCCCACUUUCUAACUGCCCACUUGCCAACUACCCACUUGCCAACUACCGACUUUCCAACUACAGACUUUCCAACUCCCGACACUCCAAUUACCAACACUCCAAAUGCCGACAAUCCAGCAACCGACACCCCAACUACCGACACCCCAACAACCGACAGUCCAGCAACAAAUACUCAAGCAAGCAACAAUCCAGCAUCUGACAAUCCAGCAACCGACACUCCAACUACCGACUUUCCAAAUAUAAACACUCCAGUAACCGACUUUCCAACUACCGGCACACCAACAGCCGACACUCCAAUUACCGACACUCCAACUACCGACUUUCCAACUACCGACUUUCUAACUACUGAUUUUCUAAAUAUAGACACUCCAGUAACCAACUUUCCAACUACCGGCACACCAACAGCUGACACUCCAACAACCAACUCUCCAACUACCAACUCUCCAACUACCAACUCUCCAACUACCAACUCUCCAACUACUGACUUUCCAAAUACAGACACUCUAGUAACUGACUUUCCAACUACCGACACGCCAACUAACGACUUUCUAUCUACCCACCUUCCAACUACCGAUUUUCCAACUACCGAUUUUCCAACUGCCGACACUCCAACAACCGACACUCCAACAACUGACAUUCCAGUAACCGACUUUCUAACUACUGACACGUCAACUACUGACACACCAACUACCGACAGUCCAGCAACCGAUACUCAUGCAAACAACAAUCCAGCAACCAAUAAUCCAGCAACCGACACUUCAGUAACCGACUUUCCAACUACUGACUUUCCAACUACCGACACGCCAACUACCAACGUGCCAACUACCGACAUGCCAACUACCAUUUUUCCAACUACCGACUUUCCAACUAUCGACUUUCCAAAUAUAGACACUCCAGUAACCGACACUCCAGUAACCGACUUUCCAACUACUGACUUUCCAACUAUUGACUCACCAUCUACCAACUUUAUAACUACCGACACACCAACUACCGGCAUGCCAACUACCGACUUUCCAUCUACCCACCUUCCAACAACCGACACUCCAACUACCAACAGUCCAACUACAGACAGUCCAGUAACUGACAUUCCAGCAAUUGAUUCUCAAGCAAACAACAGUCCAUCAUCUGACACUCCAGCAACUGACUUUCCAACUAUCGACUUUCCAACUAUCGACUUUCCAUCAAACGACUUUCCAACUAUCGACUUUCCAACUACUGACUCUCUGUCUACUAACUUUACAACUACCGACAUGCCAACUACUGAUAUGCCAACUACCGACCUUCCAUCUACCCACCUUCCAACUACCGACACUCCAGCAACCGACAGCCCAGCAACCGAUACCCCAGCAACCGAAACUCCAACUACGGAAUUUCCAACUGCCAACCCUUCAACUACCGACUUUCCAACUUUCGGCAAUCCAACUAUUGCACAUCCUUCCCUUCAAAGCACAACAGUGGGUGGAACCAGUACCACUCUCCCCACCACCUCUACCACCACCUCCACCACCAUCUCCACCUCUACCAUCACCUCUCCCACCACCUCCACCACCCACUCUCCCACCACAAUCCCUCCUCUGGUCUGUAUCAACGGUGGUGAGCUGCAGAGUGGAGUCUGUAUCUGUCCUGAUGAGUGGACCGGAGAGACCUGUUCAGAGGGGAAUUUCUGCAAUUCAGCCAUCAUGGAUGGAUUCUCCUUCCCAAGAACAGUGGUUGGCUGGUCUGCUUAUUCAGAAGAGUCAUGUGAUGAGAAGACAACCAGUGCCGGUUUAUCAAGAGCCUCAGCAAGAUGUUUGAAUGACACUGGAUCUCCGAUGUUUGGUCCUCCUCAUGAACUGCAGUGUGAAUUAACCCUCAGUGACAUUCUAGGAAAUAUCUCCAGCAGUUCAGGUGAUGUAUUACAGUUAGCCUUCAGUACUCAGAUCCUGACCUCCCAACCAGAGCAGCUGUCAGCUGACAACAUCACCACAGCAGCUCAGAUAACUAACACACUGCUUCUGUCUGCAAAAAUCACAGAGGACAUCGCAGUGGCAGCUGUAACCACCAUCAGUCAGCUGCUCAAUGCCAGUGAGGAGAGUACACAGGAGAGAGACGCUGUCCAAAAGUACAGGAUUGUGUGUGUGUGUGUGUGUGUGUGUGUGUGUGUGUGUGUGUGUGUGUGUGUGUGUGUGUGUGUGUGUGUGUGUGUGUGUGUGUAUUUCUGCAUAUAUUUGAGUUUCUGUGCGUGUCUGUAUGGGUGCAUGUACACUACUGUUUUUCUGUGUUUCUCUCAGAGCCUCACAGAGACCCUAGAGAUGUUUUCCCUGGACCAGAGCAAUAAUGUGUCCUUGGUGGUUCAGCCCAACCUGGUAGUCCAGUCUGUCCAAGUACCAAGUGACUCAGUAGGGAUCCAGUUUACUGCUCUGACUGGAAGAUCUGGUAAUUUUGUGGCCAACAGAAUUCAUCUCAACACCAAUACCUCUGAACUGAUAGUUGACAAAGGAGGUUCUACCGAUGUCCAGAUUGUUAUCAAAUUCACACCAGUUUUGCAUUGUAAAAACACAAACCACUCCAUUGGUUUUGUGCUCUACCAAAAUGACCGGUUCUUCAGGUCCAAGGCUUUCAGAGCUUCUUCAGGAACCAGCAGAAGGGUCAUCUCUGCUAACCUGGGACAAGUGUCUGGGUUACAUGUUGAGAUGCUCUUCAAGCCCACAGCUGUUCCCAACACCUCCCUCUAUGACUUUGCCUGCGUGUCAUGGAACUACACGUUGAAAGACUGGAGCACCUUUGGCUGCUCCAAAGUCAACCACUCAGCAGACGGCCUGCGAUGUUUCUGUAAUCACACCACUAACUUCGCUGUGCUGAUGUCGUUCAGGAGGGAUUUUAAAUACGCUGAAGUGCUAAACUAGAUCACCAUAUUGGGAUGUUCCAUGUCCAUCAUAGGGUUGAGUUUAACAAUAACAUUCCAGAUCGCAACCAGUACAAGACACACAUCGAUGAAGAAGAAGUUCCUCAGUAGCUUUUCUCUGGCUGUGGUGCUCGGUCUCUCCUGGAUCCUGGGCUAUCUGUUGCUCAUUACACAGAACCAGACCAUGUACACCAUACUCAACAUCUCCUUCUGUGUUCUCACCACCACUCAGGGCUUGCAGAUUUUCAUUCUGUUCACAGCAAGAACAGCAAUUGUCAAGAAAAAGAUCUCAAGUACUUUGAAAUCUAUCUCUAGUGUAGGGAUCCCUCUUCACACUAGGAAGUUCAGUCUAUGGCGAGGCGAGCACAGUUAUAACGUAGAAUCAUACACACAGCUGGACACUGAUCUGUCAUUUUCACUUUGUUCCACAGACAUCUAAAUGAUGGGCUGCAAGUUCAACCUCUGUUGUAAAAUAUCUCAUAUACCUCCACUAUUGUCCUAUAAUAUACAGUAUAAUACACACAACAUUUUGUAUCGACGUAUAUUCACUGUGAAUUCCCUUAGAAGUUGUGUUGUCCAAUGAACUUUCAAAAUAAAGGAAGUUGUACACUGCAUGCAUAAUCUCCCAACCAUUUAAUGGGUAUUUACCAACGUUUCGGCAUCACUGUGCCUCCCUCAAUUAUUUUUUCGACACAAAUGCUGUAUAUCCUGAAUAUUUGUUCUUUCUAAAAUGUUACUGUUUUAAAUAAAUCUGUGAUUAUUCU